UUUUGGAGUAAUCAUUACUCAUAUGUGAGUAUGCUUUACUUCUUUAAAAACUAUAUAAAUAUAUGAAUCAUAAUAAACAAAUAAAUCCCAUCUCGAACUUGAGUGUCUUUUUCAUAUAAACUAGUAGAAAUUUCUCCAAUAUGUGAUUUAAUAUCGAAAUCAAGAUUAGUGAGACACAAAAGUUUCAACCUUUACUUGACUCGCCGCCCCUCCCAACUCACCCAGUCAACUCGGUUUCGGCAACUCAGCAGUCAUCAGCGGAGCGUUGAGUCUCCGCCGACGGCGUCUUAGCCCACUUCGCCUCCGGGUAUUCCUCUUGUGUUAGUUGCCAUCAGCCAUAUGGAGUGAAGUCCAUGUGUUCGAUAAAUGGUCGCUGAAACCUUUUUCGACCUUUUAUUUAUGUCUUCAGUUGUAACGUCAUAGCCUCGAAGUGAAAGGUUACUUCUUUUCUGUGUUGUAUUUAGCUAACGAUCUCUACCAUUGUAGAACUCACCAGCGAUCUGAGAAAGCCUCAUUCUCAGAAUUAAGUCAACAAGCAAUGAUCUACAACAAAGUUGGAAAGCUAUGCACCAAGCUAAACCUGGGGAAAAGGUACAGUUCCACAAAACCAAAGAGGGAAAUCUCAGACCCAACUGAAAGAAUCUGCAAAGUGAUGAUGUCCAAUCCAGUGGCAGCAGUCCACACGGCACUCGACCACACUGGGGUUAAGGUUUCGCCAGAGAUGGUUGAGCACGUCCUUCUCCGAUUCCAGAACGCUGGAAUGCUCACAUACCGGUUUUUUGAGUGGGCAGCGAAGCAACGAGGCUAUGACCACAGUGUCCGAGCAUACCACGCCAUGAUUGGGUCUCUGGCAAAGAUACGUCAGUACCAGCUGAUGUGGGAGCUGGUGAGUAGCAUGAGGUCAAAGGAAUUGAUCAACGUUGAAACAUUCUGUAUCAUUAUGAGAAAGUACACCAGAGCUCAGAAAGUAGAGGAAGCUCUUUAUACCUUUAAUGUCAUGGAGAAGUAUGGUGUUGAACCCAAUCUAACAGCUUUUAAUGGGCUUCUGAGUGCUUUGUGCAAAUCCAAGAAUGUGAGAAAAGCUCAGGAGGUUUUUGAUGCUAUGAAGGCUCGGUUUGAACCAGAUUCGAAAACUUAUAGCAUUUUGAUAGAUGGGUGGGGGAAAGAACCCAACUUGCCUAAAGCCAGAGAAGUUUUCAGAGAUAUGGUUGAUAUUGGUAUCAGUCCUGAUAUUGUUACUUAUGGUAUAAUGGUUGAUGUUCUCUGUAAGGCUGGGAGAGUUGAUGAAGCUAUUGGAAUUGUGAGAACAAUGGAUUCCAAUGGUUGCAAACCGACUUCGUUUAUUUACAGUGUUUUGGUUCACACAUAUGGGGUGGAGAACAGGAUUGAAGAUGCUGUGGAUGCCUUUAUGGAAAUGGAAAGCAAGGGUGUUGAAGCAGAUGUGGUUGUGUAUAAUGCUUUGAUUGGUGCUUUCAUUAAGGUGGACAGGUUCAAGAAUGCUUAUAGGGUGUUAAAUGACAUGGAUUCAAAAGGGAUAAUGCCUAAUUCAAGGACUUGUAAUGUGAUGUUAAAUGGCUUGAUUGGCAGAGGGAAGACAGAGGAGGCAUUUAAGGUGUUUCGGAGGAUGGUUAAGGUAUGCGAGGCGGAUUCAGACACUUACACGAUGAUGAUAAAGAUGUUUUGUGAGAAGGAUGAGGUUGAGAUGGCUCUGAAAGUGUGGAAAUACAUGAAGUUGAAGCGAUUUGUUCCGAGUAUGCAUACUUUUUCGGUUCUAAUAAAUGGGUUGUGUGAGAAGGGUGAUGCUACACAGGCCUGUGUUCUAAUGGAGGAGAUGAUAGAGAAGGGAAUUCGACCUUCAGGGGUAACUUUAGGGAGGUUGAGACAGUUGUUGAUAAAGGAGGGAAGAGAUGAUGUUCUCAAAUUUCUUCAGCAGAAGAUGAAUCUUAUGGUUAAAGAGCCUCUUUGUGAUUGAGUAAGCUGAAAAUUUCCUAUCUUUUUGUAUAUAAUUUUUUUAAUAAUAAGAAUCCUAAUCUUGAGUUCAGAACUCUAGGCCUGCAGUGACAUAUUUUGAAAAGCCAAAAAAGGACAUUUUUUUUAGAUAAUGUGACAAAUAGCAAGAAAAUUUUAAGAUUGUUCUUUAUGUGGGUUAGUGAUUUGAAAUUGAAGUAGAUAUUCCACCUUGUCAGUCCUCAUUUUCUGAAACCAACUAAAGCUUUCUUGUACAUUGAUUGAAUUGAAUCAUCAUCUUGUUUUAUCUGAUAUUACUCUGUAACAGCUUUAUGUUCAUCUUUUCUCAUUGAUGGAUGGUACGGCACUUAGCUUCUUAUGUAAUAAGAUAUCAGUCUCCAGAUUAUAAGGUGACCGCUAAGGACUUAAAGGUUGAUCGUUCUCAAGGAUCGUUCUUAUAUUGGUACUAGCUCGAAUCUGAGAAUCGACAAAAGUGUUAGUAUCAGCUGUGAGGCUGUGACUUAUUUGUCAGGCUCGGCAGUGUUACUGGACACAGGUCAGGAAGCGCUGACUUACUUGUCAGAACGGCCUUAGCGUGAAUCAUGCCUGACCGACCCUGAUGUUCAAUGAAUAAACAGAGCUUGAAGGCCAGUGGCUUACCUAUCAGCCACUCUCUUGCUAGAAAACAGAGCUUGAAGGCCAGUGGCUUACCUAUCAGCCACUCUCUUGCUAGAAAACAGAGCUUGAAGGCCAGUGGCUUACCUAUCAGCCACUCUCCUGCUAGAAAACAGAGCUUGGAGGCUAGUGGCUUAUGUAACAGCCACUCUCCCGCUAGAAUCAUGUAAAGGCAAGAGGAAGCUAAACCAUCCUUGAGUUGGAGGGCUUAGGUGAUGACGUGUACAUAUGCGGCUGCUCGACCGCCACGGUCGAGGUUUAAAGUGGAACUAGGGUUGAACCCUGUUUUGCCGCUUAGAACGGCCUGUUGUAAAUAUUUUCUGUAAUAAACUCUGAAUUGUAUUUUCGGGAUCCCAAUGUAUAUGUUAAACGUUCUAGUGAAACGUUAUAUCUUAACCAAAAUGUUUAAUCCCUAAACCGCUAAUCAUACUUAGAUCACGAUUUUGGUCAAAUGACUCGAUUAGUGAGUUUAGCACUAUUUACAAGGCACACCGUAACGGUCCCAGGAGUUGGGGCGUUACACCCUAUUUGGUAGGAUAUCUCUCAUUUUAGCAUGUAGAGAAAUUAUAAUCCAAAUUUUUUAUAUGCCAGUGUAUAUUUGUAGCACACAAAUUUUUUUUUGUUUGUUAUUAUUUGUUUAUGUGUUGA